GGCCCAUGCUGGAUUGGUGCUGGUCUAGCUAGUUGGCUAUGAUAGCCAUGCUGUUCACCAGUUGGUGAAGUUGGUCAACCAGCAUUGUCUGUGAGAUGACAGACUGGUUGGCCAAAGGAAGUCAUACUGGAUACAGCUAGUUAUGAAGCCGGUUGGGGACCAGCAUGUAAAACAUAACAUAUGUUGUUGUUUUUAAGAAACUUUCUCUGUCUGCAAGUUGUCCAGUUUUUAGCUCUUCUUAAUUUCAUUUAAUGUUGAGCAUGCAGAUUAUGCCUCCUGCUAAUAGCCAUGUAAAGACAUCAGCAUCUGCUGCCUCUGAUCCAGGACCAGUGUCGAGUUACGUGCUAAUGGAUCCUCAUUACUGCACAAAGAGGGUUCAGUGAACUUCAGAUUCCUGAUGUAUCUCAGCUGGCAGUUGGGUGAUAAUCUGUAAACUGUUUGUAAACCCUGAUUCAGGACCACACGGAUUACAUCUAGACUCAGAUAAGACGAAUCGUUCGUUUCGUGUUUGCAACGGUGCUUGAAUCUUGCUGAACUCAUUUUCUGUCCCUAUUUACGUUCAGUGAAUGGAAAAGGGCAGCCUGGACAUUCUAUAGAAUAAGGCGAGAUGGAACUGUAGGAAGAAGCUGAAGAAGUUGAGAAAUACAUGCUGGCAGUUAUUCUGAAAAUGUCUGUUUCCCACCGGAAUGAAACUUAUACAGGCAAAACAAUGAAAAGCCCCCUCCGUUGGAGAGAGAGAGAGAGAGAAAGAGAGGGAUGGAAUGAGAAAGAGAGCGAGUGAAACCGAGUGAGUCAUGAGUGCAGCUUUGAACAACAAGGGG
rnacentral:lncRNA from 1 species